AGAGUUUGAUCAUGGCUCAGGAUGAACGCUAGCGGGAGGCUUAACACAUGCAAGUCGAGGGGCAGCACGAGGUAGCAAUACUUUGGUGGCGACCGGCGCACGGGUGAGUAACGCGUAUGCAACCUACCCUGUACAGGGGGAUAGCCCGGAGAAAUUCGGAUUAAUACCCCAUAACGAUAUGAAGAGGCAUCUUUUUAUAUUUAAAGUUUCGACGGUACGGGAUGGGCAUGCGUGACAUUAGCUAGUUGGUAGGGUAACGGCCUACCAAGGCUUCGAUGUCUAGGGGUCCUGAGAGGGCGAUCCCCCACACUGGUACUGAGACACGGACCAGACUCCUACGGGAGGCAGCAGUGAGGAAUAUUGGUCAAUGGGCGUAAGCCUGAACCAGCCAUCCCGCGUGCAGGAAGACGGCGCUAUGCGUUGUAAACUGCUUUUCCAGAGGAAGAAAACCCCCGACGUGUCGGGGCUUGCCGGUACUCUGGGAAUAAGCAUCGGCUAACUCCGUGCCAGCCGCCGCGGUAAUACA
rnacentral:rRNA from 1 species